rnacentral:rRNA from 1 species
CGGACGGGUGAGUAACGCGUGGGUAACCUGCCUUAUACAGGGGGAUAACAGUCAGAAAUGGCUGCUAAUACCGCAUAAGCGCACAGAGCUGCAUGGCUCAGUGUGAAAAACUCCGGUGGUAUAAGAUGGACCCGCGUUGGAUUAGCUGUUGGUGGGGUAACGGCCCACCAAGGCGACGAUCCAUAGCCGGCCUGAGAGGGUGAACGGCCACAUUGGGACUGAGACACGGCCCAGACUCCUACGGGAGGCAGCAUG